rnacentral:lncRNA from 1 species
GCCGUACCAUCCGUACAAGAUGGGAUCGACCAAAGCUCAACCAAACCUCACCACUAGUUACCCAAGUUACUUAAGUAAAGAGUAGAAGUUACCUUAGCCUUUGGAGGAUGGAUCAGACCGUUGGAAAGGAUAAGGGAGAGUCUUGGACAGGCUGUCACAGCUGGAAAGUAAAAGCAAAAGGCAUCAGCCAGCUAGAGAGGCCUCACACGGAUGGCUCUCCUUAUUGGAUAGUUUUGAAUUAGGCAUUGACUCCACAUGCUUACCUUAUCCUCUUGUAUACGAAAACCCUAGCUCUCUCCUUCAUAUAAAUAUGUAAACUCUCUCAUUAAUAAGAUCAAGCAAGUUAUGAGUCUCUCUUAGUCUUUAUUCUCACAAUGAUUCUAUGCUAGACUCCUAAUCUCAUUUCAUACUCAAAUCUCUUCUAAAACACUUCUAGUCUUUCUUAUUUACUCAGAUUACUCUACUCAAUCCUAAAAGUGAUAUGGUAUCAGAGCCAGGUUCAUAGGAAACUUGGUUUCGUUGGGUUCUUUAAAGAUUCAAGAUUGAAGCUUUGAAGAGACAGUUUUGUGUUCGUGUGUUCUUAAGCGGUUCUGGGUAGUCUUUCUGAGUUCUAUUGGUUGUGUGAGGUGUUAUUGAAGCUGUGUGGGUAAAAGGUGAAGCUACUAGUGUUCGCUCAAGACAGUUACCUCAAGAGAAAGUUAUUGAAGUCUAAAGGGUUCUACAUUCAACAUGGAGAGUGGGAUGAACAUGAACAUGAAAGUGGUGGUGUGUUUCAAGGGAAACAACUACUUGGUGUGGUCUCGGAU